rnacentral:lncRNA from 1 species
UUCUUUUUAUUUCUUUUAACCCCACCACAAUUUCUUAAAUUUUCAACAUUUUCACCACUUAAUUUGAUUUUUUUUAAAAAUUUAUUUGGUAAUAUAUGUCAACAUAUUACAUGUUUGGUUUUAGAAGAGGAAGCAUAUAGUAAUAAAAAGGCAAAGAAGCAAAUCCUAUUGGGUGGAUUAUUUAAGAAACAACAGCCACC